rnacentral:rRNA from 1 species
UAGGGAAUCUUCGGCAAUGGGGGCAACCCUGACCGAGCAACGCCGCGUGAGUGAAGAAGGUUUUCGGAUCGUAAAGCUCUGUUGUAAGAGAAGAACGUGUGUGAGAGUGGAAAGUUCACACAGUGACGGUAACUUACCAGAAAGGGACGGCUAACUACGUGCCAGCAGCCGCGGUAAUCCGUAGGUCCCGAACGUUGUCCGGAUUUAUUGGGCGUAAAGCGAGCACAGGCGGUUUAAUAAGUCUGAAGUUAAAGGCAGUGGCUUAACCAUUGUUCGCUGUGGAAACUGGUAAACUUGAGUGCAGAAGGGGAGAGUGGAAUUCCAGGUGUAGCGGUGAAAUGCGUAGAUAGAUGGAGGAACACCGGUGGCGAAAGCGGCUCUCUGGUCUGUAACUGACGCUGAGGCUCGAAAGCGUGGGGAGCAAACAGG